UACGUAGGGUGCAAGCGUUGUCCGGAUUUAUUGGGCGUAAAGAGCUCGUAGGCGGCUUGGCAAGUCAGGUGUGAAAACUUCAGGCUCAACCUGGAGAUGCCACCUGAGACUGCUACGGCUAGAGUCUGGUAGGGGAGCACGGAAUUCCUGGUGUAGCGGUGAAAUGCGCAGAUAUCAGGAGGAACACCGGUGGCGAAGGCGGUGCUCUGGGCCAGUACUGACGCUGAGGAGCGAAAGCGUGGGUAGCAAACAGG
rnacentral:rRNA from 1 species